rnacentral:misc_RNA from 1 species
GAAUAUUCUUGAUGGGUUGUAGCUGGCUCUCCGGGGCAUGUGCACACUUGUCUUGACUCUAUUCGUCCACCUGUGCACCUUUUGUAGUCUUGGGGGUUGAGAGCAGUCGACUAUCGGAUGGCUAUGGCCUUUCCGGACGUGAGGAUUGCUGAGUGCGAAAGCAUACAGCUCUUCUUAAAUGACUUGCAAAACCUCUCCCUCGAGUACUAUGUAUUCAUAUACCACAUAGUAUGUUGUAGAAUGUGAUCAAUGGGCCUAUGUGCCUAUAAUAAUAAUAUACAACUUUCAGCAACGGAUCUCUUGGCUCU